UAGGGAAUCUUCGGCAAUGGACGAAAGUCUGACCGAGCAACGCCGCGUGAGUGAAGAAGGUUUUCGGAUCGUAAAACUCUGUUGUUAGAGAAGAACAAGGACGUUAGUAACUGAACGUGCCCUGACGGUAUCUAACCAGAAAGCCACGGCUAACUACGUGCCAGCAGCCGCGGUAAUACGUAGGUGGCAAGCGUUGUCCGGAUUUAUUGGGCGUAAAGCGAGCGCAGGCGGUUUCUUAAGUCUGAUGUGAAAGCCCCCGGCUCAACCGGGGAGGGUCAUUGGAAACUGGGAGACUUGAGUGCAGAAGAGGAGAGUGGAAUUCCAUGUGUAGCGGUGAAAUGCGUAGAUAUAUGGAGGAACACCAGUGGCGAAGGCGGCUCUCUGGUCUGUAACUGACGCUGAGGCUCGAAAGCGUGGGGAGCAAACAGG
rnacentral:rRNA from 1 species